UACAGAGGGUGCGAGCGUUGUCCGGAAUCACUGGGCGUAAAGGGCGCGUAGGUGGCUUGCCAAGCGUGUGGUGAAAGCCCGGAGCUCAACUCCGGGUCUGCCAUGCGAACUGGCAGGCUAGAGCACGGUAGAGGCCAAUGGAAUUCCGGGUGUAGCGGUGGAAUGCGUAGAGAUCCGGAAGAACACCGGUGGCGAAGGCGGAUCUCUGGGCCAUUACUGACGCUGAGGAGCGAAAGCGUGGGGAGCGAACAGG
rnacentral:rRNA from 1 species